AUUGAACGCUGGCGGCAUGCCUUACACAUGCAAGUCGAACGGCAGCAUGGAAGAGCUUGCUCUUCUGAUGGCGAGUGGCGAACGGGUGAGUAAAGCAUCGGAACGUACCGUGUAGUGGGGGAUAACGUAGCGAAAGUUACGCUAAUACCGCAUACGCACUGAGGUGGAAAGCAGGGGAUCGCAAGACCUUGCGCUAUACGAGCGGCCGAUGUCAGAUUAGCUAGUUGGUAGGGUAAAGGCUCACCAAGCCAACGAUCUGUAGCUGGUCUGAGAGGACGACCAGCCACACUGGAACUGAGACACGGUCCAGACUCCUACGGGAGGCAGCAGUGGGGAAUUUUGGACAAUGGACGCAAGUCUGAUCCAGCCAUUCCGCGUGCAGGAUGAAGGCCCUCGGGUUGUAAACUGCUUUUGUACGGAACGAAAAGGUUCCAUUAAUACUGGGGACUCAUGACGGUACCGUAAGAAUAAG
rnacentral:rRNA from 1 species